ACACAUCAAGCUGUGUUGUAUUUGAUGCUGCUAUGGUGUCUAAUAAUUCGUUUCUGACAUUGUCUCCCUAGACUUGGUGUCCCAUCACAUACACGAGGGUCCAGUUCCUAAGAUUGUCUCCACCAGAGCACGUGCCUGUGACAAACUACACACUGUCGCUUGCACUUCUGGUCACUGUGACGAAAAUGACCACACCCUUGGGGGUGCUACUUUGCUGGCUUUGUUUCUGGGACCCAUAACACUUUCCUUGUGUUUACCACUUUGUUCUACAGACCACAGAUGAGCAGUCAAGUGAAGGGGUACUUAGGGUCUGACAUUGGGGGAAAGCGGUCCCACUUCUCUGUUCCCCUUCUGAUCAACCACAGGGUGCUCUUCAAAUCUUACUGUUGAAGAGGGUUUCUGGCAUUAAUCCUUAGACUUCUGCUCUUCCCAGAGGUCAGGGAGUGGAUCACAUUAAUGUUCCAGGGACCAUUCUCCACUUUCCUGGCUCCUCUUUCAGGGAACUCUUGAAGACAUCUACCAGAGGUUCCCAGAACCCCAGGAGCUGGCUUGGUCAUGCACCUUGGAGAAGCAGCAUUUUCCUACUAAUCCCAUCUCAGUUACUCAGCUUUAUUGUCCACUAGACAGAUGGUACCCAGGCCCUGUUCUGGGGCAAGCUUGAGACAAGAACUAGUCUGAUCUAACUUUUGGAUUCCAUGUGCUGACUAGUGAAGACACUAAGCACUGCUGAGAGAGCAGGAAGCAGAAGACAGUUUGUCUCUUAGUCAGCUAGCUACAGGGAGAGAGGAUGCCAGCACACACACCUUCUAGAGAGAGCAUCAUCGGCCUGGGUGCCAGACAGAUUAGUUCAGCUUCUCUGCCUGGGAGGCUGAUGGGCAGCAGGGCUGUGAGUUGUUUCUGGAGAUUUGCAUUUGAUCUAAGUUACUGAUCCAGAAAAAAAACGGGCUCUGGUCACUAAUCUGUUCUCUGCUGAUCCUUAAACAGACACAAGGUAUAUUUCUGCCAGCUGUGAAGGCUCACUACCCUGAAAUGGCAAGGAAUAAAAUUGGAACAGAAGCUCAAAGCAGUAAGGAUAACUCCAUUGGUGUCCCCAUGUCCAGGAGGAGGAAAGAAUAGGUCCUGUGCCUCUCCCGCUGGGCCCCACCUUCUCGCCUGCUGCAAAGGUCUUCAUUUUCAAUGCCGAUCCUCCCAGCAGAGGUAAAAGGAGCCCUUGUGACUAAGAAAGGAGCCAAGGGAAGCACGCUGCUGAGACAGGGAAGAACUAAGACAUGAAAGGCAAUCAUCAACGUCUGAUCACGCAGAGAGGCGGGAAGAGAAGACCAAGGAAAUGCCAUCAGGCUGGUGCUUCUGUCUCCGGUGACCUUUGAGAAAGCAGUUUCUGCUGUGUGUUGCUGAAGGAUCCAGAUGGCAUGAAGCUGAAGGCUGAGUGAGCAGAGAGGAACAGGAGAAUCCCAGCAACCCAUGUUCAGAUAAGCCAGACAGUGAAGAAAACAUCAAGAACAGGGUAGGAAAAGAGGGUAUCAGCGGUCUCCCAGAGGAGAGCGUCUUGGGCACUGCUUAUUGGGUGGCAAUGGAGAGGAGAGAAGUGUGGGAGAUGUUAGAGAGAACCUACUCAUGGAGAGUCAGAUGAGACAUCAAGCCUCAUCUUCAUCCAUGCCACCCACACUGUAGGCAGUGUACACACUUGCAAAUAAAAAUAUAAGAAAGAGGGUGGAUGGACCAAAGGCAAGGCAGUAAAAUAUAGGUAAAAGGGAAGUGGAAAGGUGGAAUACCAGGGCAGAAUGCUUCAAGCAUGAACAGGGAGUAAGAAGAAAGGGAAAUAAGGAAACAGAGAAAAGCAUAACAAAAAUGAAGGAUGUAUGGAAAAGGUAUGUAAAAACCUGUGAUCUUGCAACCCAAGUAAGAAAUAUUAUUAUAGGGGAACAAUAGAACAUGUAUCACAUAAAAGAAUAAAGGGGGAAACUGGGAGUGAAAGGAUUAAGCAGGAAUGGAGCUAGAGGAUGGGAAAGUGGAGGGGAGAAUGGGGCUGACCCAAACUAAGGAUGUAUGAAGCCUUAUGGAAACACACUAAUUUGAAAGCUAAUUGAAAAACAUAAUUCAGAAAGGGAGUCUGAACUGAGGUACUUUGUGUGGGAGGACAAUGCUGCUCCCAGAAGAUGUGGGUUGUCAAAUGAAAAUCUUAGUGCCGGGCUUGGGAUACUUCCCUAUGAGUUUUUGGGCAGGGGGACCCUAUAAGCACCCAAAGCAAUACAGGCUAUUGCCACUGUUCUUGGUUGGCCACCAUAACUAGAUGGCAAGACCUUAUUGCUGAAGACAUGACACAUUUUUGGCAGAACACAGAGAAAUUAAUCUUGAACUGACUGGGAAACUCUCUACCUGAUGGCUAGCUUCCAUAGUAUCAGAAGGUGUUAUACAGGCUGCUAAAGGAGGGCCAGGGAGCAGGAAGAUGACUUCAGUGGUCUCAGUACUGGCCUCUGCAUGCUACAAUACCAAUCUGCCGAGCAAGAUGUGCCCACUGGUGUAGUCAGGGCACAGCAGUUAUAGGGGAUAACCAGCUGCAUUCUGAUCGGAUUUGAGGCCUGUUUCAUGGGAGGGAUUUCACGCCUGGUACUAUAAGCCUGUUCAAAAGCCCAUGUUUGGGGAGUUCAUAGGCCCUAGGGAAGAAUACUAGUGUUGCCUUGCUAAAUGGUCAUGUUGUCAAACUGCCUUCUAGAUAUUAAUUUUAUACCCAUGGACAUAAACCUUAGCCUCAGUCAUCGAAGCUUCUUUUGGCAGUUGGUGAUGGUUAACGUAGAGAUCUGUCACUUUCAAAGUGCUGAGAAAAAGUGACUCUGGGUGCUCAGCCAUAGACAAGCCAUGUCUAUCGAUCUCCCCACACCAAAGGCUGAAGGAACGUUGCAGAAAGGGAAGGUUGAAAAUGUAUAAGAGCAGGACCUUGGCGAAGAGAUCUCUGAGAGGCUGUCUUCUAGACCUGACAAGAUCAUCCCCCACAUGAACUCAGCAGUUGUGGUCACCUGCCCAAGACCUACACAAAAUCAAACAGCAGGGGUCAGGGGGUGGGCUCCAUCCUUAGCUUAGGGGCUAUUCUCCAUUGAAGGCUGACUGCUGAGGGAAAGAGAAUUGCUUUGAAGGCAGAGGGAUGAUGUAGCCGCAGGCAAGCUGCCCAUGCCCCAGUGGACAGUUGCACACCCAUGUGCCUAUGAGCAUCACUAACUGAAUUCGACAGGUUAUUAAUUAUUUAAAGAGGAAGAAAGCAUAAAGUUGGGAGGGAGAUGUGUUUGGGGUUUACGGGGGAGCUGAUGGGAGGUAGUAGGGAUGGAUAUAAUCCAAACACAUUAUAUACAUACAUGAAAAUCUCAAAAAAUAAAUUUUUAAAUAUUACUAAAAAGUAGGAGAAAGAAAAAAGUUAAGGGACAAAGCACUCGAAAUACAAAAGGAAAGAAAUGGGGGAUCUGCUGAAGAAUCCCUGCUUCUUCCGUCAAGGAGGAGCAAGAGUGGAGUCUGCUCAGUAUGCAGCAGAUGGAGGAAGAGCUGGAGGGUAAGUGGCACAGUGGGGGUCUUGAACUGUCACCACGCACAAUAUGCUAAACAGCUUCUCACAGGGCGGUGGGACAGGUCAGUGGGCCAGGACAGCUAGCAGUCAGUCCUGAAGAUAGAACACCAGGUUAGCCCAGCAGGUCUGAGCUUCUGCCUGUGGCUUCUCAGGGUAGCUCAAACCCAGCAGGGUGGUACUGGGAGUAUGGCCAAGGAGGAACUCUACCAACUGCACUAUGCUCCAGCAGCCUCUCCUCCUGGCCAGCAGUGUGGGGGGGGGGGGGGUUCUGUCUCCUCCCCUGAGGGAGCCCAAAGGCUUCCUUGGGGCUGGGCCAGGACUUGCUGCAGUUGUCUGUAGAUUGAGAGCAGGAUAUCUGUAUGAUGCACCUGGGACUGGCUGUCCACUUGCGCCCAGGGGUCAUGUCAUUUAUCAUCCAAGCUAGCCAUUCUCUCUAGCAGUGCACACAGUCUCUGUUUUUCCAAAUGCCUGCUUUGGAAAAGUAUAGUAAGAACUCUGUCGGUAUUAUUACAAGGCAUCCCAACAUUACUUUUAUUGGUGAAAGAAAAGGAAGAACUAUUCGAGGCUUUAAAUAUAAUUUCAGCUGUUGUAAAAUUCUGAAUGGCUGUAAAAAUGGUUUUAAAACUUUUAACACCUACUCGUGUGAACAAGUUACCUUGUCACGGGUAUCUAGCUGGAAUCUGAACAAAUGAUCUCGAUGUCUGAGGUGUGAAUUGCAGUGUAGCGCCAUUGAACAUGGACACUGACAUAUUAAAAGGGCUGUGCUGAGGAAAGAAAGCCAGUUCAGCUUUCUCACUUAAAAGGGUUUACAGAUUUCUAUAAGUUUUAUACAAAUAUAUUAUGUGGUAUCCUUUAUUAUUUGUCUAAUAUUAUUUCAUCUUUCUUAAAACUGUAUAUUUUGUAAUUUCUCAUACACAUUAGACGACGUAAAAGAUGCUAUCAAUAUUUUUUGCCGAGUCCCAUAUAGACACCCAAGCCCACUCCUAUGAAUCACUGGAACAUUAUCGUCAUGACAUGAACUUCUUAGAAGCCCUGGGGAAAGACGUCAGGGAAGAGUGGAAGAUGCUGCAGACUGCAGACUUCUGAAGUCACAACCCAUUGGAUCUCACUAAUGGGGUUUUAGGACCACAGUGAAGGGCAGGAAAGCCUUGGAGAAAAGCAAAGGAGGCCAUAUCGAGACCCUCAGCCAAUCCCAUUCUCUGAGUUGCCCUGGAUUUAUACUCAAAUACUUCACCAGUAGAACUUUCUGACUCAAAUCCAUCAUGGGAUACCUGUUUCUAGAGCUGAAAUAGGCAAUGGACUAGGACCACUCUGGGCAGUGACCACCUCACCUCUGUCUUGUGACCAAGCAAGGCCUUCCUCUGGAAGACUGGAAGCAGAAGCCUCAAAGAUUUGCUCUCAGCAGAAACUAUUCUCCCGGAGAGACUCCUUUUGAUGGAAGAUUUUUUAAAAUAGUGAAAUCUGUUGUUGUUCAUUCCAGUAUUUUUCUGCCUGGAAUUUUCUUUUCAUUUAGAGGUAAGCACAAGCUUAAAUUUGCUUCUAAUAUUAAAAUGGCUUUAUUUUCUUUCAUGGACAGAUAUCCCUCAUGUUGUAUAGCAAAAAGUGAGGUUUGAAACUUUACAUUUUCCCGGUCCUGAUGAUAUCUGCAUAGUAGCCAUAAGAGUGUCUUUCUCAGGGCUACUCCAUACAACAGGUUCCUCUGUUCUCCCAUCUUGCACAACAAUGACUUUGUGAUGCAUCCUGAUGCAUAAGCCUUCCUGUAUUCAAAGUCUUUGUCAUAACUCUAGGCUAUUUUCAACUAUUUGAUUUUCAGAUAAACUUUGAAAUUAUUUCCAAGUCUUCCCCUCACCCUGAAAGAAGUCAGACUUUGAGGAAAACAAACGUAUAUGUGAAUAUGAGGAGAAUCAAUUUCAUCAAUUCAGUUUUCCUACCGGCCUUUCCUUCAGCUCUUCCUGAGGCUCCUGGGUGUCAUUGGGCGGACAUGGUGGAAACCAGAAGUACUCUGCCCCCAUGCAGACAUCUUCCACUACAGGCCGAGUAAUGCCCAGGCUGGCUCAGGCUCACAAGCUGUGGCAUCUCUGAAGGAGGGGCUCCUGUGAGAUUCAUACAGCAAUUAUUCAGCUAAUUUGCAGCCCAAAUGAACAUUUUGAUCUGAAAUCAUUUAGUAAAUUGAGCCAAAAUUAAGAUGAGAUAUAGGAUUUAGGAAAUAGCAGGACAUAGUUACAGAUAAAGGGAGGGAGGGAGAGAGGGGAGGAGGGAGGGAGGGAGGGGAAGAAAAGGGGAGAGAAGGAGGAAGAAGAGAAAGGGGAGGAGAAGGUGGAAGUGGAGAAGGGGGAGGAGGAGAAGGAAGAGAAAAGGGAGGAGGAGGAGGAGGAAUUAUGAAACAGUCUUCUCAGCCGCCUGCCAGGCAGAGCUGUCUCUCCCCCUCACAGGGCUUCAGUUUCUGCAUCUGAGAGUUAAGUAGGGUGGACCAGACCAUUCUGAUAGUCCUUUCCUCGCUGAGUUCUACCAGCCACUCACACAUUGCCCAUGUCAGUCUUCUCAAUGAGUAGCAAAUUUUGGGAGCUCUCCUUUACUGGCCCUGCUCCAAUUACGCAAAAUGCAAUUUUACUUUACACAUCACAACUGUGACUUCAAGGACAAGUCAGUGUCCCAGAUGACUAAAGCAGGACAUAGGGACAGGGGACACUGAGGACCCUCCCACUAGCUACUGGACUUUGAAAUUAAGAUGAGGUAUUAGUGGCCCUGGCCUAGACUCUGUAGAGAGCGUUGCUGUCUCUGAGGACAUUCCUCUUACUCUGUGAAGUCUACAAUCCUAUCUGCAGUAAUUGCAGGGCAAACCAUUCCCCGAUGCCUCACCACCAGAGAGAUGAGUUCUGAUUCAGAGACAGCCUCCAACCCCAGAGGACAAGGCUUUGCAGAGGCCCCACCACAUGUAAUGCUGCCUAAAUGAAGGCACGGACUCCCUCCGCAAGGCUCCACUGUACAGAUCCAGAUCCAGCCUUAUAGACUGUAUCAACCCCACCAGGAAUGGCGGAGAGGAAAAGCUCAAGUGCCUGGGGAAAUCCCGGAGAAGGAAAGACAUGGUGAGACAGCCCUGGGACCAAUUCUCAGCACUCCGCCAGGAACGGCAACACUGAACUAAGUAUUUAGCAUCUCUAAGCUGCAGUCGCUACACCUAAGGAGAGAUGACCCAGAAAGAAAUAUAAUUCAAAAACAAGAAAUCGCUGAUCUCGACCUGAGGCAAAUUAGACCCUCUCGACCCUUUCUCUUCAUACCAGUCAAACAACAAUGAGAACAUGAACAAGUAAGCCAAUGGGUGUGAGCAUCCUUCGUCAGGCAAAACACAUCCUAAGGUAAGAUGUCAAAUUUUACAGACUAGAGGAGAAAGAGCCUGCCUGGCAUGCCUACAGAGCCUGCUGUUGCUGGGUGGUGGUGCUGAGGGCAGGUCGGAGGUAAUUAGCCCCUGAUUCCCAUCAUUACAGCAGCUCCUGGAGGCUGCCUGGGCCCUGAAAAGGGCCUUCUGUCGGCUGAUGCUAAUGAUGAUGUUCCUGUGUUAACCUUCCCCCGGGGUGUUCUCCAUCACUGGGCAGCCAGAAGAUGAGUGAUUUCCUGGCUUGGCUUUGCCUCGCACAGCUGGGCAGCUGCCUGUGGGCUGGAACCAGGGGACUCUUCCUGGGUGAUUUUCUUUCACUGUAAUGGUAUUUUCGGGGAAAAUAGGAUCAGAGCCUUCGGAUACACUUCCUGACUCUCUAGAAAAGAUCCAGUGUGGGCAGCAUGCCAUGGGGGCUUUUAAUCAGUCCAGCAUCUGCCAUUCCCUGCAUGCGGGAUGUUUUCCCAGGCUCUGUCACGUGGCUCCUUAUCUCCCUAUCACCCCAGCACCAGGUCAUAUGGAUUCUGAUUACUUUUGUCCCCUCAACCCCCUGUUUUCUGCAAGCUCCUGAGGAGGGUCCAUAUUCUGCUUAUGCCUCCAGCAUGCCACCAGAUCCAAACAGACUUACUGAGAGCCAGACUGCAGACUGAGGAAGGCACUGGAAGACAAGGGAGGUUGGGGGCUCCCUAGAUCACUCUGUCAUAUGGGACCAGCAGCCUCACCAGAGUCAAGGCAGUCACAGUUUUGAUUUCUUCUACCUGAAGUGACUUUUUUGUUGUUGUAAAUCCCAAAUUAGAAAAUGGUAUUCCACUAAAAGAAUUCAUUCUGUCAGAAUAACCACAAAUAUGAGAACUCAACAGUAUGUAUUAAAGUCCAGGAGCUCCUAGGAAUUGGAAAAGGCUUCUAGGGAGUUGUAGGAACAGUUACUUAACUCCAGGAAGCUUUAGAGGAUUAAUGUGUACAGUGCUGAUCUUAUACAAAGCUGGUAAAUAAUUUGCAAAUUAAUGUAAUGAAUGGUGAGCCAACACAGUUGGGUGGGUCCCUGAGCAGCCCCACAACCUCACACCCAACAGUGAGCGUCACAGAGUGCCACAGAGAUGUGCCAAGGGGACAAUGCCCUUGCUGUCCCUCAAGUUCCACCUUGAUUGUUAGACCUAGUGUGACCAACUGAAGGACAUCCUUCAGUGACAUCAUAGAGCAUGUGAGCUCUAGACAGACCAGAGGCACAUAGGCGGGUGCACUCAAGACUUACUUCCUUCCCCCUAGAAGGAGGAAACACAGACUUACUGCCUUCUGAGAUAGAGGUCUUCGUGGAGGUUUAUUCCUUUGUAGGGGAUUGAUUGGAAAGGAAAAGUAUACGAUCUUCUAACAUUGUUAUUAAAAGCACCGGUUAAUCCCACUGUAUAGAGCUGUGGUUUACUUAGUAAGGGGUUCAGAAGGCAGGAACUGAGGCUCCUGACCCUAACAGGAUACAUCACUGCGCUGCUGAUAUACUGGGUAUCAGGAGGCAGGGGAGAAAAUAAGCACUGCCCUGCAGAGUCUCCCUUCACCAUCUCUUGUGAGCAUUGCCCCAGCCAGUUGCCCAGUGAAGAGGAGGAAACCAGUCCUUCCUUCAGAAAGUCUGCUCUCAGUGUACAUGGAGGUUCCCAUAGGCAAUGUGCGCCUUAGAGUUAGAACCCCCUGCAGACCCCACACACUCCGCCCCUGACGCGCAUACUUACCUCCCUCUGCAGGAACCCAUGCCUCUGUUCCUAGCUCAGCACUUGCUCUCCUCUAGCUCUUGUACUCCCAUAUGCUGGCACUCCUGUACUGACUUGGAAACCCCAGGCCACACUGUGAGUCCUUUUUCACAGUUCUACACACCUGUGAGAGACAGCACCAAGUGUGUGAGUACUCAUCUACCAACCAGAUGGGCUACCCUUCGGUUCUGGCCUUUGUUCCUGGCCCUGCCUUCUUGUCUUCCAAUAGGAUAGGACCAAGGCUACCUCCACCAUGUGCUGCAGGUGCAGAGGGAUAUACACUGCUUCCUUAUGAGAUUGUUUGCUGUGUGACCACCAGCAACUGCUCCCACCUGCCAUAUUUUGGGCUCUCCCCCAGCUAUCUGUGAAAGCCGAAAAUAAAGUUCUUCCUCAUGGUGAUACAAAAUUGACAUUUCAGGAUUACUAAGAAGUGCUGAAGCUGAGAGAUUGACGUGAAUGCAAAUUACAUACAUUUGGAGUUAGAGAUUUACAUCUAGCAAGUUUUCCCAGUUCAUUUCAGUGUUAAGACUCUCAAUCUCAGCAAAGGGAAGCAGUUGCUGGUGGCCACACAGCAAGCACUCUCCUAGGCAACGAGUAUAUAGCCCUCUGCAACCGCCUCACACUGUGGAGGUAGCCUUGGUCCUAUCCUAUUGGGAGAUAGGAACGGGACCAAAGGCCAGAGCCCAGCAACAAGAAGAUGAAAAGAAUUCUUGAGUGGCACAGCUUCUCUGGCCCAUUUGAGGUCUAUGUCUGAACUUGAGGCCCAUGAGAGCAAAGGAAGAUUCUGAGAUAUUUGGUCUAUGCUUCCAGAAUUUCAACACCCUUUAUUUUCUGUUUAUGAGAUAGUUCCUACAAAUUCCAUUCAGCUGUCAUAAGUCAGCUCAGUGUCAUCAGCCAAACAUAAACUUAGACUAACUAGACAGAUCUGGCUGUUUGAGUUCCCAGUUUACUCUCUAACCAUGGGCCUGGGGACACAUUAUGGGGAGAGAAGGAGCUCCUGUAGGCCCCCCGACCCCAACUGCCUGCCUGGCCCACUCAGAGCUGUGUUCCCACCAAUAGAUGAAGGGAAGAAGCAGCGGCAGCUGAAGGAACACCCUACAUUUCUGUCCUUUUUCCCUGUGGGGGCCUCUGGACCUAGGUACCCGACGUCAGUGCUGCUCUAAUUGGACUAUGGAAUGAGGGGGAAUCUGGAGCUCACAAGAUAGAAGGAUUCAGCUCAUUCUGCAGCUUGUACUGAAGAGCUAAACUGCACGUAAUUCAGUUAAAGAAGAAGGAAGCAAACCUCAUCACAACAGUUGAAAACACGAGAACAACAAAUAAACAGCUGCUUUGAGUCAGAACAAGGAGGCCAAUUUGAUCCUUACAGAAAGAAAAGUGCCGCCGCCUUGCAUGUGCCUGUGUGCGCGUGUGUGUGUGUGUGCGCGUGCGUGUGUGCAUGUGCAGGGAGAAACAGCUCCCUUCAAGAUGCUGCAGCUGUGAGUACAGCAUUAACCAAGUUCCUCGAACAAUUUGCUAGAUUAGAACUAUGCCAUUCAUAGCACGCAGACUUAGCCAAGUCUCAAUACUAAUGGGCUGCCCCUACUGCACUUGCAUUCCGUGAGCUGUAUAUAGGGGGGAAAUAUUUGUACUCUGGGAGCCAAAAGCCCUGGAUUUGUAAAUGUACUCCAUGCCUACCAGCCACAGGUGAAAGUGUGGCAAAUCACAGAGUUUUGUCCAUCCCCUGUGCAGUAAAAGCAAACAGGCUGUCCCAGAACUGUAAAAAGCCAACUUCCUCUAAACUUGAGUGGACCAGAAUCUCCCAGGGUUCUAUGAAUUAGUAUUUUAACAGGAGCCCAGGGUGAUUCUCUUGCACAAGAAAACUGAAGUGUUGGUAACAUAAACUCUCUAAAAGCAUCAGUUCAUAUUGCUGUAAUAAUUCCACAUAACAAGAAUAACCCACAUAAUCUCAAUGGGGUGCAAUAAUAGGCACUUCCUCCCAGAAAUCAGUGGUCAAUAGAGGCAGCUUAGCUUCCAACUGUAGACCUAGAAGUGUUUGGGAGGGUGGGAGUGGGAGUCUGUUCUUCAUGUGUUUAUCCAGGGUCCAGGCUGAGAGUGCACUAAGUCCUCUCAUAGCCACAGCAACAGUGGAAGAGGGCAAUGUGGAAAUCCAUACAGUCCCUUUGGGCCCAGGAUCAGAUUCAGUUCCCUGACACUUCUAGCCCAUUUAAUGUCCGAAGGAAAUUACAUAGCCAAGUCCACAGUAAAAGAAUGAGAAACACACUGCCUACAAGAAAACCACAGCAAGGUUUCAGAUUCAUAGGGGGUAAAGAAUUGUACCCACCUGGGCCUUACAGCUAUUUCCUUUAACAAGAGCCUCAAUUCUCCUGCCUAUAAAAUGGGUAGAGUAAGUUAUACCUUGAUCUAUCUCCUGAAAGUAUUGCUAGCAUGUAGUGAGACUGUAAUUUCUAAAAAGUGUAGGUGAUGUGUCCGUUUAUUGACUAUCAUUCCUGUCACAAGAGCCUUGAAGGUUGGAAGACUGUGGUAUACCAGAUGACCUUAUGGUCUGCCAAGUUCUCCUAAUUCAAAUUGCCAGGCUAAGCUAUAUAUCGCUACACACUGUUACCUAUUCAUAUACCCUCCCUGCUCACAUGCCCUCAGCACAUCACAGAGGUCAAAAUAAGACAUCCUAAGGCAAGCACAAGGACUCGAGGAGAUGCCAUGAUGACACUUCUUGGUGCCCAUCCCAGUCCAAAAAGCUGCUGACAAAGGUUUGUUGUAUUCAAUGAUUUGUUGUGAUUACCAUGUAUUUUGCUUAGAAGUGUUCUGCCUGGUACCUUAAAAUUAAUAUCAGGGGCAUUACAAAUUGAUGCUGUGGUGUCUCCACAUAAGUACCUUAAUCAUGACAACCCAAUGGUGUAGAAUCAUUGCCCAGUUUUUAACCAUUACUUUCUCAGAGUUCUGUUAUAUCCUGGAGCCAUUCGGACAAACUGGCAUGCACACACAAGAAAGGGAGUGGGCAAAGAUAACCUCGAGUGUCAAUCCAGCUGGCUUAGGCUUGUAGACAGGCCCAUAGCCCUGAGGCUUCCCUUUUCACUAGUAUGCACAUGAGACACAGCUUACGUGUUCAUGUGGAUGCCCCAGCAUCCCUGCACUCCAAGGAUGAGCCUUCCCACAAGGCCCCAUUUGGGCCAGCUACCAAGAGAAAUGGCAUGCUCAGGUAAAGGAACCUGUCUCUUUGGGAUCAGUAGGGGUUGUGACGAAGAUGACACACCCCUGAGCUUCUCCAAAGGCAUGCCUGGGUAGGACAUUUUUGUCAGUCUUACCUCUAAUUUCAGAC